rnacentral:rRNA from 1 species
GACGAACGCUGGCGGCGUGCUUAACACAUGCAAGUCAAGGGGGCCCGCAAGGGUAACCGGCGAACGGGUGCGUAACACGUGAGCAAUCUGCCUAGAUGUGGGGGAUAGCCGGCCCAACGGCCGGGUAAUACCGCAUACGCUCACCGGGUGGCAUCACUUGGUGAGGAAACAUUCGUGGCAUCUAGAGGAGCUCGCGGCCUAUCAGCUAGUUGGUGGGGUAACGGCCUACCAAGGCUUUGACGGGUAGCUGGUCUGAGAGGAUGGCCAGCCACAUUGGGACUGAGAUACGGCCCAGACUCCUACGGGAGGCAGCAGUGGGGAAUAUUGCGCAAUGGCCGAAAGGCUGACGCAGCGACGCCGCGUGGGGGAUGAAGCAUUUCGGUGUGUAAACCCCUGUUGCUCGGGACGAACAACUGGUUUCGACCAGUCUGACGGUACCGGGUGAGGAAGCACCGGCUAACUCCGUGCCAGCCGCCGCCGUAACAC